AACUUAUUUAACUUAACUUAUUUCAGUAACUACUUGAAUAUAUCAUUUUUAUUUAUUUUUAUAUGAAUUAAAGACAAGAAAGGUUUAAAAAAUUUCAGACUUUUAUUCUUAUAAACAUAUUACAUUAUUACAUCAACUCAUUAUAUCUAAUAAUCGAAAAGGUUUCGAUUGGUAUAUAUCACAUUGUUACUACAGUAAUCGAAAUUAGUCAUUAAUUGUUUUAUUGUUCAUUGAAGUUUUACCAAAACAGGGUACUACAGUCCAUUCAUGAAGUAUGAAUAAGGAGACGUAACUCCAUGGAUUGAAAGUGAGCACGAAAGAUGUUCCGUGAACUGCCAGGUUCACUGAAUGGAAUAAUUUGCAACAUUUCGUCGCCAUCUUGAAAUUGUGAAUGACAUGACAGAUGGUGAAACGAAAAGGUUAGGAAGGUUAGGAAAUGUGGUUACAGUCAUUAUAAACGUUUGAACUAUAAUAUAUUAAUGUCUAUAGUAAAACAUUAAUAUUCUGAAAUAAGAGAAGAGAAAAAACACGUAGAGGGAAGAAAAAUGUAGCGAAAAUAUAUAUUUAGGCUUCUGACAAAGAAUGACAAUGGAACUUAAAAGCAAUGGACAGUUUUAAAUACUUGCAAGAUAAUUUGGAGUUGAUUACACUUCCUUCUACAGAAUGGAGUUACUCAAGAGGAAAUGAAAUAUUUUUUGGUUUCCAAAAAGUAGAAAGUGAUUAUAAUAUAAGAAAAAGAAUUGCUUUUUUGAAAAAUGGACAGGUUAAUAUUUAUGUAGAUAACAAAAUUCAUUCUCUUUCGAAAUUUAUUGUAAUUAAAAGUAUUGAGGAAUUAAUUGAAUUAUUACAAGUUCUUGAUCAAUUAUAAGAAUCCUUGCAUAGAUCAAAUUCGUAAUGAUCAUGUUUUAUUAUAUGAUAUCAUGCUAUAAUUUUAUAUAAUAAUUAAAUCAUGUUAUACGUUAUUACGUAAUUAUCUUGGAGCUUAAAGUUCAAUUGGAAAAUGUAAUAUUUCAAUUUCAUUUCAAUUUAUAUAUUUAUAUGAUUGCUUAAUCGUAGACAUAAAAUUAAAUUAUA